CGUGUAGGCGGUUUGGUAAGUCAGGUGUGAAAGCCCUGGGCUUAACCCAGGAAGUGCACUUGAAACUACCUCACUUGAGUAUGGGAGAGGAGAGUGGAAUUCCCAGUGUAGAGGUGAAAUUCGUAGAUAUUGGGAGGAACACCCGUGGCGAAGGCGACUCUCUGGACCAAUACUGACGCUGAGACGCGAAAGCGUGGGGAGCAAACA
rnacentral:rRNA from 1 species